UACAGAGGUCUCAAGCGUUGUUCGGAUUCAUUGGGCGUAAAGGGUGCGUAGGCGGCGCGGUAAGUCGGGUGUGAAAUCUUGGAGCUUAACUCCGAAACUGCAUUCGAUACUGCCGUGCUUGAGGACUGGAGAGGAGACUGGAAUUUACGGUGUAGCGGUGAAAUGCGUAGAUAUCGUAAGGAAGACCAGUGGCGGAAGGCGGGUCUCUGGACAGUUCCUGACGCUGAGGCACGAAGGCCAGGGGAGCAAACGGG
rnacentral:rRNA from 1 species